CCUACGGGGAGCAGCAGUGGGGAAUAUUGCGCAAUGGGCGAAAGCCUGACGCAGCGACGCCGCGUGAGGGAUGAAGGUCUUCGGAUCGUAAACCUCUGUCAGCAGGGAAGAACGGUCACUGUGCUAAUCAGCAGUGAAUUGACGGUACCUGCAAAGGACGCACCGGCUAACUCCGUGCCAGCAGCCGCGGUAAUACGGAGGGUGCGAGCGUUAAUCGGAAUUACUGGGCGUAAAGCGCUCGUAGGCGGUAUGUCAAGUCAAGGGGGAAAUCCCCGCGCUCAACGUGGGAACUGCCUUUGAAACUGGCAAACUGGAGUGUGUGAGAGGAUAGUGGAAUUCCAGGUGUAGGAGUGAAAUCCGUAGAUAUCUGGAGGAACAUCAGUGGCGAAGGCGACUAUCUGGCACAUAACUGACGCUGAGGAGCGAAAGCGUGGGUAGCAAACAGGAUUAGAUACCCCUGUAGUC
rnacentral:rRNA from 1 species